rnacentral:rRNA from 1 species
CUAGCUGGUCUGAGAGGAUGACCAGCCACACUGGAACUGAGACACGGUCCAGACUCCUACGGGAGGCAGCAGUGGGGAAUAUUGCACAAUGGGCGCAAGCCUGAUGCAGCCAUGCCGCGUGUAUGAAGAAGGCCUUCGGGUUGUAAAGUACUUUCAGCGGGGAGGAAGGGAGUAAAGUUAAUACCUUUGCUCAUUGACGUUACCCGCAGAAGAAGCACCGGCUAACUCCGUGCCAGCAGCCGCGGUAAUACGGAGGGUGCAAGCGUUAAUCGGAAUUACUGGGCGUAAAGCGCACGCAGGCGGUUUGUUAAGUCAGAUGUGAAAUCCCCGGGCUCAACCUGGGAACUGCAUCUGAUACUGGCAAGCUUGAGUCUCGUAGAGGGGGGUAGAAUUCCAGGUGUAGCGGUGAAAUGC